UCGGUCAGUCAGUCAUUGAGGCGGGCAUACAGCCUAUAGUGGGUGAGAGAGACAGAAGCACCGAGAGAGGCCAACAGUGUGAGCAACACCAAGAAGAAGAGAGUCCAUUUGGAACCCAUAAAGAGAGGGGGACAUGCCAAUCUACGGCUCGUGAAAACGUUAAUUGUAUUGUAUUCUUUUCGCGAACCCACGUGGGCAUUCUUAUUCAAAGUGAAAGGCAAGACCCAGCCUAGACAGACAACUUCACAGACGGGCGUGGAUAACACGGGCAGAAGAUACAUGUCAAGUGACACUAUAAAGAACAACAUAUAUCUAUAUAUUUUCAAGGGGCGUGUUGUUGUUGAUCGGAACUCUCCAGAUUCGUUUUCGUCAUAAGCCCAUUUUUUUGAAGUUGGUAGCACCUCGGAUAACAAAGUUGCCAUGGAAACUGUUCUGGUCUUCCUCCUCUCCCUCCUAGUGUAUGUGGCUGCGAUGGCCGAUCCGGAUGCUAAGGAUGUCAAGGAGAAAGAUGACCCAUUUGUAUACGACUACGAGAGCCUGCGGAUCGGAGGGCUGGUAUUCGCUGUCAUACUCUUCACUCUAGGGAUCCUCCUCAUCCUCAGCCGCAGGUGCCGCUGCAGUUUCAACCAGAAACCUAGGGCCCCUGGAGAUGAGGAGGCUCAAGCCGAGAACCUGAUCGUCUCUAAGGCGAAAGAAGCCCCUAAAGCUGAAAACUGAGACGGCUGUUCCAGGUGAAACCAUCAAUAGCCCAACCAACAUAUCCAUUUAGCCUACCCAAGACCUCCACGUCUUCAGCUGUCUGUCACUCAGCCACCAUGGAUGAUGAGGAUAAUGAUAAUUAAGACACCAGUCCUUCACUGCAAGAAGAAAGGGGACAGGAGGAUUUAAGGGGUUUUCCUGUAAAUAAUGCUCAGUUGUCCUGUCUUGUAACCAGUGACUAUGUAUGUCCAGCUGUGCCCCAUCCAUUAGCCGUGUUAGCCAGUGGCAUCCUCUACCCAGAAGCACCCAAAUCCCUGUACUGUCUCAAAGUCUCAAGGUUCUGUAUGUUCCCUGCUGUAUGUUUUUACUUGUUUUCCUCUUUAGUUUUUGAUAGUCAUCAUUAUAUUUAUUCUCGUCACUUCUAUGGACACUCUUGUUAUUCUCAUUAUGAUUGUUACUUUUCGCAGUGUAGAAUAUAUAUAUAUAUAUAAAUAUAUAAAAUAUAUAUACACAUAUAAUUAUACAGAUAUGUUUGUGUGUGCAUGUGCUGCUGUGUUUGGGUGGUGUGUGGCAUGUGUGUGUGUGUGUUUUCGGUGUGUCUGUGUGUGCGCGCGCUUGUGUGUGUGUGCGUGAGUUGUGUGACAAUCCAGCAAACUCAGUUCAUCCACCAAUCAGAAGAGAGGGAGCAGAGCCGGACUGUAAAGCAGGGUCACAUGACAGACAGCAGUGUCUACAGCUGUGUAGUUUGGUGCACAGGCUGGUCUGGGUCUCACUGUGUCCCACUGCUCUCGUUCCUGUGGCAUCUGCCACCUGGGGAAUGCAGACAGGGGACCUGCCCAUGGGUCCCAAGUCCUCCUACACUCUUACCGACAAUCUGCAAUCUGUGAGUGUACAAGAAAACAACAGAACAAAGCCACAGCUGUUUCGCUGUUUAAUUUCAAAUUGGAAGACUAUUACAGCCAUGUCUGAACACAAUGCCUGUGCUUGCUUAGUUUGAGAGGGCGAGAGAGGGGGCAGAGAGGGAGGAAGAGGGGGAGGAAGAGGGGGAGAGAGAGUGUGUGAAAAGGAGAGGGAGUGUGUGUGUGUGUGUGCGUGUGUGUGUGUGAGAGAGUGUGUGUGUGAUGGAGAGAGACUGAAUUGAGGAUCCAAAGUUCACAUACUAAACACAAAGUAAUAUAGAAGAAAGGGAAAAACAAGAUAAUUUAUAACAGUUGGUAGGCUUAGAUCAUGUCCUGAGUAUCAACAUUGAAAAAUAAGCAAUUAAGAAAACAUACCUACGUACUCCUGUAUUGGAAAAGUGUCAUAUCAGAUUGUGUGCUUUUCACAAACAAUAAAAAAACCGUGUCCACA